rnacentral:rRNA from 1 species
AUGAACGCUGGCGGCGUGCCUAAUCCAUGCAAGUCGAGCGAACAGACAAGGAGCUUGCUCCUCUGACGUUAGCGGCGGACGGGUGAGUAACACGUGGAUAACCUACCUAUAAGACUGGGAUAACUUCGGGAAACCGGAGCUAAUACCGGAUAAUAUAUCGAACCGCAUGGUUCAAUAGUGAAAGACGGUUUUGCUGUCACUUAUAGAUGGAUCCGCGCCGCAUUAGCUAGUUGGUAAGGUAACGGCUUACCAAGGCAACGAUGCGUAGCCGACCUGAGAGGGUGAUCGGCCACACUGGAACUGAGACACGGUCCAGACUCCUACGGGAGGCAGCAGUAGGGAAUCUUCCGCAAUGGGCGAAAGCCUGACGGAGCAACGCCGCGUGAGUGAUGAAGGUCUUCGGAUCGUAAAACUCUGUUAUUAGGGAAGAACAAAUGUGUAAGUAACUAUGCACGUCUUGACGGUACCUAAUCAGAAAGCCACGGCUAACUACGUG